rnacentral:snoRNA from 1 species
AAGACUAUACUUUCAGGGAUCAUUUCUAUAGUUUGUUACUAGAGAAGUUUCUCUGAACAUGUAGAGUACCUGGAACCAUGAGGAGGAGGUACAGUAUCCCUUCCUGAGCAUGAAGCCGACUUUGGAAGCUGUCUUUGCAGCUGCCCUUUGUCAUUGAUGAUCAUUCUUCUUCUCUUUUGGAGGAGUUAGAGGGAAGGGAUACUGUCUGAAUG